rnacentral:rRNA from 1 species
CUGCGGAGGGAUCAUUACAGAGUUGCAAAACUCCCUA